GAGCUCAGCUCUUGAGACAGAAGUCUUGCUCAAUGCUCCUGGCUGAAUAAACCAUUUCCUUCUUUAACUCAGUGUCUGAGGAGUUUUGUCUGCGGCUCGUCCUGCUACAUUUCUUGGUUCCCUGACCGGGAAGCGAGGUGAUUGGCAGAUGGUCGAGGCAGCUCCUUAGGCGGCUAAAGCCUGCCCUGUGGAACAUCCCUGCAGGGGACUCUGACCAGCCUGAGCGACGUGGAUCCUGAGAGCGCUUCUGGGUAGGCAUUUGCCCCAGUGGGAUGCCUCACCAGAGCAGUGUGUGGAAGGCCCCCAUGGAGUCUCAACACGGUGGCUGAACACCGGGAAGGAACUGGUAUUUGGAGUCCGGACAUCUGAAACUUGGUCAGUGAGAGAGCAUAUGCCCUGGUAGAUUCCUGAGAAAAGGAACAGGAGGAUGAGAGGUUCAAUGUUUUACACAUUGCUGGUCUGAUAGCUCAGCUUCAUUCACAGAGACCGGGCUGCAGUGUGUCCUGGGCUUUGGAAUUACUGUAAGAUUCUCAAGUGAUUUUACUGUGCAAGCAGCUUUGGCAACCAUUGUCUAAAAAGGCAAGUUUCUGCUCGAGAGCACCAUGUAGGAGAAAAGUACAUGGAGAUAUCCUGAAGCACCCAGCAGCAUGCUCAUAUGGGAGCCAGGAUGAGGUUAGCUUGGAAAAGGACCACCAGGAAAAUGUGGCCUUAAAGGCAGGGUGGAAGGGGAAGUAGAAAGGGAAUGUGAAGAGAGGAAGGCGUAUGAGGAAGAGAAAAUAGGAGAGAAGAGGUUAGUAAGGACAACAGAAAGGAGGGCACACUGAACUAGGGACUCAGACAACAAAGACAGGCCUCUCUGUGCAUGGCCACCUGGCAAGA
rnacentral:lncRNA from 1 species